rnacentral:piRNA from 1 species
UAUGGGCCAUCCAAGAGAGAGAGUCG